rnacentral:rRNA from 1 species
GCUUAACACACGCAAGUCGAACGGAAAGGCCCUGCUUUUGUGGGGUGCUCGAGUGGCGAACGGGUGAGUAACACGUGAGUAACCUGCCCUUGACUUUGGGAUAACUUCAGGAAACUGGGGCUAAUACCGGAUAGGAGCUCCUGCUGCAUGGUGGGGGUUGGAAAGUUUCGGCGGUUGGGGAUGGACUCGCGGCUUAUCAGCUUGUUGGUGGGGUAGUGGCUUACCAAGGCUUUGACGGGUAGCCGGCCUGAGAGGGUGACCGGCCACAUUGGGACUGAGAUACGGCCCAGACUCCUGCGGGAGGCAGCAGUGGGGAAUAUUGCACAAUGGGCGGAAGCCUGAUGCAGCAACGCCGCGUGCGGGAUGACGGCCUUCGGGUUGUAAACCGCUUUCGCCUGUGACGAAGCGUGAGUGACGGUAAUGGGUAAAGAAGCACCGGCUAACUACGUGCCAGCAGCCGCGGUGAUACGUAGGGUGCGAGCGUUGUCCGGAUUUAUUGGGCGUAAAGGGCUCGUAGGUGGUUGAUCGCGUCGGAAGUGUAAUCUUGGGGCUUAACCCUGAGCGUGCUUUCGAUACGGGUUGACUUGAGGAAGGUAGGGGAGAAUGGAAUUCCUGGUGGAGCGGUGGAAUGCGCAGAUAUCAGGAGGAACACCAGUGGCGAAGGCGGUUCUCUGGGCCUUUCCUGACGCUGAGGAGCGAAAGCGUGGGGAGCGAACAGGCUUAGAUACCCCUGGUAGUCCACGCUGUAAACGGUGGGUACUAGGUGUGGGGGUCCAUUCCACGGGUUCCGCGCCGUAGCUAACGCUUUAAGUACCCCGCCUGGGGAGUACGGCCGCAAGGCUAAAACUCAAAGGAAUUGACGGGGCCCCGCACAAGCGGCGGAGCAUGCGGAUUAAUUCGAUGCAACGCGUAGAACCUUACCUGGGUUUGACAUGGAUCGGGAGUGCUCAGAGAUGGGUGUGCCUCUUUUGGGGUCGGUUCACAGGUGGUGCAUGGCUGUCGUCAGCUCGUGUCGUGAGAUGUUGGGUUAAGUCCCGCAACGAGCGCAACCCUUGUUCACUGUUGCCAGCACGUUAUGGUGGGGACUCAGUGGAGACCGCCGGGGUCAACUCGGAGGAAGGUGGGGAUGACGUCAAGUCAUCAUGCCCCUUAUGUCCAGGGCUUCACGCAUGCUACAAUGGCUGGUACAGAGAGUGGCGAGCCUGUGAGGGUGAGCGAAUCUCGGAAAGCCGGUCUCAGUUCGGAUUGGGGUCUGCAACUCGACCUCAUGAAGUCGGAGUCGCUAGUAAUCGCAGAUCAGCAACGCUGUGGUGAAUACGUUCCCGGGGCUUGUACACACCGCCCGUCAAGUCAUGAAAGUUGGUAACACCCGAAGCCGGUGGCCUAACCGUUGUGGGGGAGCCGUCGAAGGUGGGACUGGUGAUUAGGACUAAGU